CUUCGUCUCCCGCAGGCGCACCCACCAGCCCGCCCAUCGCCCGGAGGAGCCCCGAGUCGGGGGACCGAGGUGUGUCUGACCAUUACCUGGUCUCCUGACUGGCCUCUCUAUCCCUAGGACUGGUUCCCUGCAGUACAGCCUGCAUAAGGCCAUCUCAUCUCGGAUAAAUCCUUUGAGUGUGCCAUCUGUCGCUUGCCAGGACCCUGCCUCAUACAAGCAGGACAAGGAGCCACCCUAGGACUGGGGCCAGGAUAGCGCCAUUUCCAUGGAGCCUGGGAUUCUCCUCCUCAUCAGCGGUCUAAGGAGGCUACACUCUUCACACAGAUGUGGUGGUAAGAAAAAUUAUACAAAAUCUGGAAAUAAGACAAAAGGGUGUCCUUCCCAUGUCAUAUUGGAGCCUUGUCUAACAGGUCUGCCUAAAGAUUAUUUAAUUCUUGGGGUGCCUGGGUGGCUCAGUCCUUAAGUGUCUGCCUUCGGCUCAGGUCAUGAUCCUGGGGUCCUG
rnacentral:lncRNA from 1 species